rnacentral:rRNA from 1 species
AGUGAACGCUGGCGGUAGGCCUAACACAUGCAAGUCGAACGGCAGCACAGUAAGAGCUUGCUCUUACGGGUGGCGAGUGGCGGACGGGUGAGGAAUAGAUCGGAAUCUACUUUUUCGUGGGGGAUAACGUAGGGAAACUUACGCUAAUACCGCAUACGACCUACGGGUGAAAGCAGGGGUUCUUCGGGCCUUGCGCGAUUGAAUGAGCCGAUGUCGGAUUAGCUAGUUGGCGGGGUAAAGGCACACCAAGGCAACGAUCCGUAGCUGGUCUGAGAGGAUGAUCAGCCACACUGGAACUGAGACACGGUCCAGACUCCUACGGGAGGCAGCAGUGGGGAAUAUUGCACAAUGGGCGCAAGCCUGACCCAGCCAUGCCGCGUGAGUGAAGAAGGUCUUCGGAUUGUAAAACUCUUUUGUUAGGAAAGAACAGCAGCAGGUUAAUACCCCGCUGUUCUGACGGUACCCAAAGAGAAAGCCACGGCUAACUUCGUG